AAGACGGUCUUGCUGUCACUUAUAGAUGGAUCCGCGCUGCAUUAGCUAGUUGGUAAGGUAACGGCUUACCAAGGCAACGAUGCAUAGCCGACCUGAGAGGGUGAUCGGCCACACUGGAACUGAGACACGGUCCAGACUCCUACGGGAGGCAGCAGUAGGGAAUCUUCCGCAAUGGGCGAAAGCCUGACGGAGCAACGCCGCGUGAGUGAUGAAGGUCUUCGGAUCGUAAAACUCUGUUAUUAGGGAAGAACAUAUGUGUAAGUAACUGUGCACAUCUUGACGGUACCUAAUCAGAAAGCCACGGCUAACUACGUGCCAGCAGCCGCGGUAAUACGUAGGUGGCAAGCGUUAUCCGGAAUUAUUGGGCGUAAAGCGCGCGUAGGCGGUUUUUUAAGUCUGAUGUGAAAGCCCACGGCUCAACCGUGGAGGGUCAUUGGAAACUGGAAAACUUGAGUGCAGAAGAGGAAAGUGGAAUUCCAUGUGUAGCGGUGAAAUGCGCAGAGAUAUGGA
rnacentral:rRNA from 1 species